GUGAGAGAGAGGGAGGUCCCAAUAACAACUGGAGGGGUUGCUAUUAUAUAGCCCUGAUUAAAAGGAAGACAUAGAACCAGCUAUAUGGAUUCUAUCGUACAGAAUUAAAAGAAGAAACAUACACUGGAGCAUGGAAACACUGGAGUCCAAGAAUCCUACAACGGAAUUUUAUAAGGGGACAGAAAUAGAUCAUUGCCACAGCUGCAGACAACCUGAGGAGAGCUAAAAGGCAUACAACGAUAUUGGAUAAUAAAGAGAGAAGGCUGUAAUAAGUUGACAACAUCUACAUGUUCCAGCGAUGCAAUUCCUUCUGAGUUUGUAUUUACCCACCAAUGAUAAUUCACAAGCCAAAGCAAAAAAAUCUGCAAACUAUGGAAG